rnacentral:rRNA from 1 species
UACGAAGGGGGCUAGCGUUGCUCGGAAUUACUGGGCGUAAAGCGCACGUAGGCGGCUUUGUAAGUUAGAGGUGAAAGCCCGGGGCUCAACUCCGGAACUGCCUUUAAGACUGCAUCGCUUGAAUCCAGGAGAGGUGAGUGGAAUUCCGAGUGUAGAGGUGAAAUGCGCAGAUAUCAGGAGGAACACCAAUGGCGAAGGCAGCUCGCUGGGACGGUACUGACGCUGAGGCGCGAAAGCGUGGGGAGCAAACAGG